UAGGAUGCAGGGUUGGAAGGUGCCUCAGGGACACUUCAGCUGAGCCCUCUGGGAAAACUCCAACCCCUGCAGGAGGUGGCGGGUGGAGGGGCCCAGGCGGCACUCAGGCUCUGGGGAGUUAGUUUCUGUGUUUGUCCUCCCCAUGGGCUGCACCCUCCUCAGCACAGGGGCGGCAGCUUCCACACCUAGCACCGUGCCGGCCUUGCUGGACACUCAAGAGAGCUUCACACAGAGGCAGAUGCCACACGAGCCACGCACCCAGACGCAGAGCCAGAUUCCCUGCAUGGACUGGACGGGAGUUUCCCAGCUGGAGUUCUCUGGGCCCAGCUGCCUGUGACAUGGGGUUGGGGGUGCUCCAGAAAGUUAUGGCCACCUCUGGAGGAAGUGACUUGUGGCUGACUGCUCAAGGGGAAGUCCUGCGGCGGUGGAGUUGUCAGCAUUCAUUCAAAUAAGUGAGGAAACUGAGGCGCAGAGAAGUGAAAUAACAUGCCCAACCCGACGUUGGAAUCUGGGCGUGCUGACUUCCAGAACUGUGCUGAUGGACUCUGGGCGUGCUGACUUCCAGCACUGUGCUGAAGCUGUUCCUCUCCCUCUGCUCCCUCAGUGGCCCUGGACGCCCGUGUGGGUCCCAGGCAGCUGGCAUGACCCGCACGCAGAGCCUCGCUGUGGUUAGCAUCGAGCCCUGGGGAGGCCAGCUCCAGACCCCGCUGCUCUAUUUGCAGGUGCAGCCGAGGUGCAGAGCAGCGGCAUCAUCUGCAGCUGGUUAGAAUGCAGAUGCUCAGGCCCCACCCAGACUCACGAGUCAAAUCUGCGUUUUCACCAAAUCCAGCAGGUGAUUCCUGCAUGUGUACAUCUGCUCCCUGCUUCCCUGGUCUUCAUCCCCUGCAAUACGCAGAAAUAUGUCCAUGGAGAAUUCCAGAAGAGUUGGCAGCCUGGUCACAGGGCUGCUCUGCGAGGUUGGAACGUGUUCCUAAGCCACACGGGGAGGUCCCCAGGCACCCUCUUCUCAGGCUUACGGGAGGCAGCCUGGAAGCCACUGGUGAAAUGUGAGCUGGGAGUGUAAGUCUCUGCGCCUCCGCUGACUUCUGGAGGCAUCCCGGGGAGGUACGUCACUCUUCCAAGACUGCUUUCUCCUCUAUAAACAGGGAUGAUGAAAAAGAAACAUCUUUCUUUCUGGGUUGUUGGGAACACAAGCAGAUCCACAGCACAUGGAGGGCCUGCCCUGAGCCAGGUGUGGCUGUGCCCUCAUGAUAGGCAGAAGGCCGCACUGGAGGCAGCUAGAGCUUUGGGACUGGGCCCCUCAUCACUGACACAGGGACAGUGCUUGCUGCACAGACUGUCCCAAGGACUAAGUGAAAUUCUGUGAGCAAAACACCCUGAACCGUAGCUGUUAUUUUUAUAACAAUUGGCUGAUGUAACUGCCCUAGUGCAGUGCCAGCCCUUGACUCAUACCCAGAGACAGGUGGCGGCAGGUGGAGGAAGGGACCAUUGUUGGCUGAAGCAGUGUCUUCUAGAUUGUUCGCAGAGGCACCAUUCACCCCAGGGUACUCAGGCCUAGAUUUCUGAGAGUCCGUAAGAAGGUGCAGAAGUUAAUGUGCCAUGUUGCUAAGUGGAUUUCUUUUAAAAGGUGUUCUCUUCUAAGGUAGCGACAGAUGUGAGGGUUGCUAUGGCAACAGGUGUCUGUUUUGGAGAGCACCACACAAUAGGUGAGAUGACUUACCAACAAUUUAUGGUCACGGAAGGUGAGCUUCCUCCCAGGAAAUUUGAGUGAGGGAUCACCUCCUCUGGGUUUAUAUUUUCAGAAGCUGGUUUUAUUUUGUACCUUGGGAGAUUGGGCAGGAUGGGGAAGCCUUUGCAUGGAUUCAGAGCAGACUCCAUGCACAGCAUAUGGUCAAAGGGUCAGAGUCUUUUCAAGAAUUGAAGGAGAUUAAAAAAGAACCUUGAAGAAUUAGAUGGUCUAAGAUCCUCCGAGAACAUUUCACUAGCCUGCGAAUUUAUUUGUAGCAAACAGCACUGCAAUUUUGCAGGGUUAGGAGUAGAAUCUGUAGUUGGCCACGACUUUAUUCUUUCCAUAGAACAAGUCUUCAGCGAAUGCCUCCUGGGUACAUUGAAGGUCAUGUGCUGGGGGCGGGAGGACCAGGGUGGCAUAGCAGGAUAUGAAGAUGAAUAAGACCUGGACUCUGCCCUUCAGAAGUCAGGGUGGGAGAGACAGACGGACACAGGCCGAUUGUGGAGAGGCUUAAGCUGUUAUGAACGUAUAGCUGGGUGUAGUGGAUGAGUUUGGAAAACUUGGCUGGGGAUCAUCCUCAGUGUGGGGUUGAGGAGUCUGAACUCUCUCCCACUGGAGACUUUUCUCCUGGGAAUGAGGUGUGGUCAGCCAGGCCCAUCGUGGUUAGCAGGUAAGGGCAGCAUGGAAGGGAGAGGACAGGCAGGGGGCUGGAGGACUCUGUCAGGGUGAAAGGUGACGGAUGGGCACCAGUCCUCAGCCCUGCAUGCAAGACUGACCAGAUCCCAGCCAACAGCCUGGGCUCUGCUGGUUCCUCAAAGCCCUGAGAGUUUGCUGUCUCUUCUGGGCCUGGGUCAGGCUGGAGAGGUGGUUCCCUGCAAUUCCCCCAGAGGGCUUCCAAUCCUAGCCAGAGGGGAAGGCCCUCAGUGAAGCUCCUGGGUCCCAAGUUCUGGGCCAAAGCCCUCCUGUGCAUCUGCCGAGCACCGUUCUCGUCCCAGACAUUCCUCUCCAGGUGGGUCCCUGGGCCCCAAUCAGCUCGGGCCAGCAUCAGAUUCCCGGGCCCUGCUCUCUAACCAGGCUGGCCCAUCCUCGCCUGGAGCCACUGCCCAGAGACCCAGCAUGGCCGGUGGAUGAACCCCAGGGAUGUAAGCCUUACUGGACUGAGAUAGGAGAGCCAGGAGUAGGAGCAGAGGAGGAUGUGCCCAGAACCUGCUGGAAGCAGCCUUCAUCCGCAGGAGCCCGCUGGAAGCUCUGCUGCAGCACCUGGCGACCUCCGGCGCAAUAGCCACAUGACUAGACACAAGCUGAACCCUGAGCCAGGCAGGGAGCCAGACGGGCACCUCGAGCUGUGGAUCCCUCGAGUCGGGCACCUCGAGCCCUGCCUGGGGAGGGCACAGGCGAGAGUGCACAGGAGGCAGGGCCAGAGGAGCUCUUCCCACCGUGGAUUCUGCAACCUUCUCUGCUUCCCGCCCGUCUGCACUUGGGUGCACCAGUGGAGAGCCAGCCCUGGGGAACCAUGGAGUGCCGGUCUGUUCUGGGCAGGGCAUAGUCUCAGCCUGCACCCUGCCUUCCCCAGCCAUAAAGUGGAGAUAAAUUGUACCUGUUUGGGCUGCCUCAGGUGAUUUAAUGCAAAAGAUUUGUAAGCUCUAACUAGGAUUCCAUUCCAUGGAAUUUGAAGGAUGAAACAAAAACAUUUAUUUCGUUCCAGAACAUAAAAUUGAUACAUGUUUUCCGCAUACAAUUUGGAAAAUACACACAAAAAAGAGAAGAUAGAACAACCCAUUAUGGCAGCACUCAGCGCAAACGCCAUUCAUAUUUUGUAAUAUUAGCUGCCACUCUCUUCUCUAUGUGAGGACACACGUCUCUACCUUCUAUUUCCUUUGGUCCAGAUGGUAUCAUAGUUUAUGCACAGCUUUGAAAACAUUUCUUUUCCAUUUAACAACAUCUUAGAAACAUGUUUUCUUAUCAAUAAACCUUCGAAUGUAACAUCA